rnacentral:rRNA from 2 species
AGGUUCGAUCAUACCAGCACUAAUGCACCAGAUCCCAUCAAAACUCCGCAAUUAAGCAUGCUUAGGCGAGAGUAGUACUAGGAUGGGUGACCUCCUAGGAAGUCCUUGUGUUGCACCUC